rnacentral:rRNA from 1 species
GAUGAACGCUGGCGGCGUGCCUAAUACAUGCAAGUCGAGCGAACAGACGAGGAGCUUGCUCCUCUGACGUUAGCGGCGGACGGGUGAGUAACACGUGGAUAACCUACCUAUAAGACUGGGAUAACUUCGGGAAACCGGAGCUAAUACCGGAUAAUAUAUUGAACCGCAUGGUUCAAUAGUGAAAGACGGUUUUGCUGUCACUUAUAGAUGGAUCCGCGCCGCAUUAGCUAGUUGGUAAGGUAACGGCUUACCAAGGCAACGAUGCGUAGCCGACCUGAGAGGGUGAUCGGCCACACUAGAACUGAGACACGGUCCAGACUCCUACGGGAGGCAGCAGUAGGGAAUCUUCCGAAAUGGGCGAAAGCCUGACGGAGCAACGCCGCGUGAGUGAUGAAGGUCUUCGGAUCGUAAAACUCUGUUAUUAGGGAAGAACAAAUGUGUAAGUAACUAUGCACGUCUUGACGGUACCUAAUCAGAAAGCCACGGCUAACUACGUG